rnacentral:rRNA from 1 species
CCUACGGGAGACAGCAGUGGGGAAUAUUGCACAAUGGGGGAAACCCUGAUGCAGCGACGCCGCGUGAGUGAAGAAGUACUUCGUUACGUAAAGCUCUAUCAGCAGGGAAGAAAAUGACGGUACCUGAGUAAGAAGCACCGGCUAACUACGUGCCAGCAGCCGCGGUAAUACGUAGGGGGCAAGCGUUAUCCGGAUUUACUGGGUGUAAAGGGAGCGGAGACGGUGCGCCAAGUCUGGUGUGAAAUGCCGCGGCUUAACUGGGGAACUGCUUUGGAAACUGGCGAACUAGAGUGCGGGAGGGGGGAGCGGAAUUCCGAGUGUAGCGGUGAAAUGCGUAGAUAUUAGGAGGAACACCGGUGGCGAAGGCGGCUUACUGGACAGUAACUGACGUUGAGGCGCGAAAGCGUGGGGAGCAAACAGGAUUAGAUACCCGAGUAGUC